CCUCUAAGGGCCAAGCACUUGCAGAUGAUAUUGGCAUUAAAAUUCUUUGAAACUAGUGCAAAGACAAAUCUUAAUGUUGAGCAAGUCUUCUUUUCAAUAGCUAGGGAUAUAAAGCAAAGGCUCGCUGACACUGACUCCAGGGCAGAGCAGCCUCAAACUAUCAAAAUCAAUCAACCGGAGCAGGGGCUGCAGGUGGUCAACUUGCGCAAAAAUUAGCUUGCUGCGGUUCUUAUUAAUG